rnacentral:rRNA from 1 species
UACGUAGGAUGCAAGCGUUGUCCGGAUUUAUUGGGCUUAAAGGGUGCGUAGGCGGCCAUUUAAGUUAGUGGUAAAAACGUUCGGCUUAACCGGAUACCCGCCAUUGAUACUGAUAGACUUGAGUGCGACAGAGGGUGUUGGAAUGUGUGGUGUAGCGGUGAAAUGCUUAGAUAUCACGCAGAACACCAAUUGCGAAGGCAGAUGCCUAUGUCGUAACUGACGCUGAGGCACGAAAGCGUGGGGAGCAAACAGG